rnacentral:rRNA from 1 species
CCUACGGGAGGCAGCAGUGGGGAAUAUUGGGCAAUGGGCGCAAGCCUGACCCAGCAAUGCCGCGUGAAGGAAGAAGGCUUUCGGGUUGUAAACUUCUUUGACAGGGGAAGAGCAGAAGACGGUACCCUGAAAACAAGCCACGGCUAACUACGUGCCAGCAGCCGCGGUAAUACGUAGGUGGCAAGCGUUGUCCGGAUUUACUGGGUGUAAAGGGCGUGUAGCCGGGAAGGCAAGUCAGAUGUGAAAUCUGGAGGCUCAACCUCCAAAUUGCAUUUGAAACUGUUUUUCUUGAGCACUGGAGAGGCAGACGGAAGUCCUGGUGUAGCGGUGAAAUGCGUAGAUAUAAGGAGGAACACCAGUGGCGAAGGCGGUCUGCUGGACAGCAACUGACGGUGAGGCGCGAAAGCGUGGGGAGCAAACAGGAUUAGAUACCCCUGUAGUC